CAAGCGCCAGCCAGGGAAUCACACCUGCCCUAAAUAUUCAGGGAUGGGCCAAUCUGUGCCUGGGUACAGGAGCUGCUGCCUCCCCAGUAAAAAGAUGCUGGCCUUCCAAUGUCUCAAGUUUGCCAUGAGACACAAAUGUAUCCUGUGAUGACGGAUUUGCUGAGCGCAAAUAAUGAAAUCCAAAUGGAAAAGGAUCCAAAUGGAAAAGUCCACCAUUGCAAAGAGACAUUGCGGUGCCACUGAGAGCCCCAUUGCAAAAGGAUUA